AAGAUGGCGUUGAUGGAAUGGAGGUGUAAUUAUCAAGCCUUCGGGCGAGAUAUUCAGCCUGCCAUCACCAAUAGCCCAACGCACCUGAUCU
rnacentral:rRNA from 1 species